rnacentral:rRNA from 1 species
GAUGAACGCUGGCGGCGUGCCUAACACAUGCAAGUCGAGCGGGCUUGUUGUGCUUGCACAACAAGUUAGCGGCGGACGGGUGAGUAACGCGUGGAUAAUCUGCCCUAUGCAGGGGGACAACAGCUAGAAAUGGCUGCUAAAACCGCAUAAGUCUAAUUUAUGGCAUCAUAGGUUAGGGAAAUAUUUAUAGGCAUAGGAGGAGUCUGCGUCUGAUUAGCUAGUUGGCGGGGUAAAAGCUCACCAAGGCGACGAUCAGUAGCCGGCCUGAGAGGGUGAACGGCCACAUUGGGACUGAGACACGGCCCAAACUCCUACGGGAGGCAGCAGUGGGGAAUAUUGCACAAUGGGGGAAACCCUGAUGCAGCAACGCCGCGUGAAGGAAGAAGGCUUUCGGGUUGUAAACUUCUUUAGGCUGGGAAGAAAAGAAUGACGGUACCAGCAGAAUAAGCCCCGGCUAACUACGUGCCAGCAGCCGCGGUAAUACGUAGGGGGCAAGCGUUAUCCGGAAUUACUGGGUGUAAAGGGUGAGUAGGCGGUUAGGAAAGUCAUAUGUGAAAGCCCCGGGCUCAACCUGGGGAUUGCAUAAGAAACUUUUUAACUAGAGUACAGGAGAGGUAAGUGGAAUUCCUAGUGUAGCGGUGAAAUGCGUAGAUAUUAGGAAGAACACCAGUGGCGAAGGCGGCUUACUGGACUGAAACUGACGCUGAGUCACGAAAGCGUGGGUAGCAAACAGGAUUAGAUACCCUGGUAGUCCACGCUGUAAACGAUGAGUGCUAGGUGUUGGGGCGAGAGCCUCGGUGCCGUAGCUAACGCAAUAAGCACUCCACCUGGGGAGUACGGUCGCAAGAUUGAAACUCAAAGGAAUUGACGGGGGCCCGCACAAGCGGUGGAGCAUGUGGUUUAAUUCGAAGCAACGCGAAGAACCUUACCAAGGCUUGACAUCCCUUUGAAAAGUGUAGAGAUACGCUCCCUCUUCGGAGCAAAGGUGACAGGUGGUGCAUGGUUGUCGUCAGCUCGUGUCGUGAGAUGUUGGGUUAAGUCCCGCAACGAGCGCAACCCUUGCCUUUAGUAGCCAUCAUUAAGUUGGGCACACUAGAGGGACUGCCGUGGAUAACACGGAGGAAGGCGGGGACGACGUCAAAUCAUCAUGCCCCUUAUGUCUUGGGCAACACACGUGCUACAAUGGGUAUUACAAAGUGAAGCGAAGCCGCGAGGAUUAGCAAAGCACAAAAAGGUACCCUCAGUUCGGAUUGUAGUCUGCAACCCGACUACAUGAAGUUGGAAUCGCUAGUAAUCGCGAAUCAGCAUGUCGCGGUGAAUACGUUCCCGGGC